rnacentral:misc_RNA from 1 species
GAAUGGCAUUUAUUUUUAACAUGGUACAAUUUGCUUGUUUUCCUAUUCUCAUCUUAAUUUAUAAUUGUUUAGUGAUUGUUCAACUUACUCUGUGACAUUUGUUGAUCUUCAGGAUCUUUAUACUCUUCCAAGUUUUAUUUAUUUAUUUUUCUAUUGAUUUGUAUUUGGUUUAUUCAUUCCAAAGGAAAAAAAAAUGUUCAGUUUGUCUUGCAUCAAUAUGGUGCACAACAUUGAGUAGAAAAGAUGAAAUUUAGGCUUAUCCAAGGAAAUUACUUUAUUUUGAUUUUUUCCAUACCAAUUUCGUUUACCAACAGUUUUUAAUAUCAUACACCUUGAAGAGCCUAGAUGAUGAGUGUUUUUUUUUCCCCCUUUUAGUUGUACUGUGAACAAAUUAAUUUUCCUUGUUGAGGCAUAUGGGACUAUUUAUGUCUUGGACUUGCAGGUUUUUAUUUUUGGAUGUAAAGGUGACAUUACUUGUGCUUUUACUUUUGCGAAAUAGUUAUAUUGGUCUUAGAUUUACUAAAUGGAAUGUAAGAACUGAUGACAAUUAUGGUAUGCUGCUACAUAUGACAGACAUAUGAAUUAACUGUUAGGAGUGAUUGUAUAGAAGUGCUCUUAUCCGCUUUGCUCAUUUGAUGUACCCCUCACUGUUUAAGGCAUUCCUACUUCUGACUCAUCAUGUUCUUCUUUUUCUCCCCAUUUUUGGGUGCAUUUUAGGAGGGUGGGUACUCUCAUGAUAU